AGCUGUUCGGCCGUGAAGGAGGUCCGCGUGCGUUUGGGCCGGUCCAGGUCGAGGCCCUUGGGCAGGACGAUCUCACGGAUGGUGCCUUUGGCGUCUGUCCAGAGGGAGAGACGUCGGUUCGGUUAAAUAGUCAGGGUCCACUCCCAAAAGUUUGUCAUGCCCGUCUUCGCUGGAGGAAGUCGGCGUGGAUGCUGAUGUUCCCGGGGUGUCGGUGGAGCUCUGAACCGGAGACCGGUUCCCUAUCUCGGAACGACACUUUGUUUCCAUCCUGUCCGGACACAGUGGGUUGGGACCACAGCGGUGGUUCCCAUCGCCCAUAGUCGUGGCCUGGUCAAACAUCUACAAAGACGAGGAGAGCAUGCCCCCCCCUCUCCCUCCAAAAUAAAGUAGAUCCAGUUACAAAGGAACCAUGUGGUCCUGCAAGGGGACCGUGGUGAGCUUCAGGUGUUGCUGCAUGACGCACGGUCCAGAGUCCAAAACCGAAGCAAGAGUUAGCCGGGCCUAGAGGGGGGUGAGAGCGAGAAAGAGACCUCGGGAUUUUUUCUCUAACUAUACGAGGUGCAGGAGGAAUGCAUGGUGCGGGCUGCAAGGGGGGCAACAAGAUCUACGGAGGAGCGGGGAGGUACCACUCACACACUGCUCACCCACAUAGAAAUAAAGUGAGAGGAGGCGCUGAAAAAACCCCACAGCGGCCACAGUUCACCGUGCAGAAGUCAGGAAGGAAAGUUUCUCCUGGUUUGUCCAGCGCAGCAGCCUGUUACUUCACUCCCGGUCAGAUCAGCUGCCUCUGCAGAUCCGUGACUGCAUGUUGGUGAUGAUGAUGAUGGUGAGAUGGCCACAUAAGGGGGUCGUCCUUCUCCUGCUUUUGAAAGGCGCACACACAAAAAAUAUGUCUGUGUUGAGACCCUUCUAGAGGGGAGUGUCGGGUAAUGGGGUCACAUUUGCUCGCAGAGUCUCGAGCACUCUUGUUGGUUUGUUGACAAUUUGCUUUACAGCUGAAACAUCACGUCUGAGCGGGGCGGCUCGAGCACCCUGCCUACACCAGAGCAAGAGAGACGGUGCUGUGUGGAUAGCAUUUGUGGUGACACGGUGCACUUUACAGAGGCAGGAACCAGACGUCAUUUCCUGCCCGCACAGAGUCGCUCUCCCAUUGGUCCACCGGCAGGGCACGUUUUCACUAGAGGAUGAGCGGCGCUGCGGACAGCGAUCAGGCACAGAGACAUGAGACGAUGAUUUUUUUCUUUCUUUUUUUCUGCAGUAUUUCUCUGGAAACAGCCAAAAGCAGCGAUGCCCGGGUUUCCCCACAGCAUCAGCAUCAGCUCUGACUUUUUUGUGUUUGUUUUUGUGUUGUU